rnacentral:misc_RNA from 1 species
GAUGAAGAACGCAGCGAAAUGCGAUACGUAGUGUGAAUUGCAGAAUUCCGUGAACCAUCGAAUCUUUGAACGCAAAUUGCGCUCGAGGCCUCGGCUAAGAGCAUGUCUGGCUCCGCGUCGGCUUACUACCCUCAAUCAAUUACCUUGUGAUGAUUGGUUGGAGCUGGCUUUCCGGUGUUCCAAUCAGGUUGCCGGUCAGCUGAAAAACAUUCACGCUGUGGAAGUCGCUUUCCCUUCAAAAAGGAAAGCCGAGUUCCGAUUUGGUAGGUGACCUUUGCCGGUUGCAUGCCUUCGUUGCUCGUUUUGGCUUUCAUGAUAGCGUGUGCAGGACGCCAUUUUGGCUUUCGACCUGAGCUCAGGCAAGAACACCCGCUGAACUUAAGCAUAUCAAUAAGCGGAGGA